rnacentral:lncRNA from 1 species
UAUGGUAGGGAUUGCCAUUGCAAGCAACUUUGCAAAAGAUUGUUGGUUCAUUUUUGUAGAACAGCCAAGACUGUCUUGUGGUAGCAUAUGCAAAUAAGGGGAUAUGGCAUGAUUGCCAUUAAUACAACAAUUCACAAGAAUUCAAAUGACAUGGAUGAAAGCAACUAUAGACACUAUAUAGCUUCCAACAGUGAAUUAACCCCAUACUUAAAAGUCA